rnacentral:lncRNA from 1 species
UAACGGGCUUUCUCUGACCUGCCAGUGAUAGAGGUAAGCAGGAGCUUUUAGUUGAGUUGAAAGCUUAGGCCUUCUGCUUGGGCAGUCUCCAGCUACGCUAACUUAAGCAUCCUUAGAGCCUACAGCCUGCUAUGUGGCUGGCUCUGUCUGUCCUUUCUCUGCUCUGCUCCAGUCCACGGUUGUUUCUCUGUCUGCUCUCUGUAGCUCCCUCUGCUCCUCCUUCUCCCAGCUCCCCCUCCUUGAGCCGCCCUGUCCGAAAGUUCCACCCUCUACUUCCUGCUCAGCUAUUGGCUGUCAGCUCUUUAUUAUCACCAAUCAGAACCUCAGAUAAUUCUAAAUUCCCUUAGGCAAGUGAGAAAGGAUGAAUAUUUACAAAAUAUAAGUCUGGUGGUGGGUCAUAAAAAUGACAAUACCAAUAUAAUGCCAGCAGAGACACAUCUUCACACAAUAUGAAGAAAAGAUUACCCCAGCAGAAGCCUUUGUUUGAAAUUCUUCCCGUUUCUUGUUCUUUGUUGGAGAAUGAGCCAGAUGAUGGGACGGACCCUGGUGCCUAGGCCAGCUUCAGCCUGUGGAACGAGAGGCAAACUUACCAGGUUAGUUGUGAGACUGAAGCACUAUCAGAACCCCACACUUUCCUGCCUGUUUAGUUUGGGAUUGUGGGCUCCAGUAAUAGCAGCUGCCUCAUUUUUAGAUUUUGUGGAAGAACUGUCAGAUUUGGGGUUCUUAAUUUGUUUUUCUGAAAACUUUUUAUUUAAUGACUCUACCCAUAAACUAAUUUUCAUAUUUCUGUUUGCACUGCUGUGGAAAUGGGAGCCAUUCUUUUCAACUCAGUGCCUGGAAUGUUGGACUGAAAAUUCCAUUUUACUGUGUGUGUGUGUGUGUGUGUGUGUGUGUGUAAAAAUGUAUGAAAGCUUUUGUUCGUUUGUUUAAGCAAUUUCGCUUAUUUUUCAUGGAAAGAUGGGUGGCUCAAAAUUGCCAGAUUAAUUAAAGGUAUGAGAAGUGUUCAAAGAUUUAAUUUUGUAGUGAAUAUUUUGAGUCAUACUGAUUAGUGCAACAUAAUAAAUACUAAAUUUUGAUGUGCUUAUUUAUUCA